GUGGACGGCAUCUUUUUGAACCAAAUCAUGCUGCAAAUAGAUCCCAGGCCCACAAAUCAACGCAUCAAUAAGCACGUCAACAAUGAUGUGAACCUUCGCAUUCAGAAUUUGACCAUCUUGGUGAGAAACAUUAAGACCUACUACCAGGUAAGGGCGGUUCUGCUGUCGGGAAUUCUGAUGUGUGUCCAUCAGUAUCGUCACUGUCACGGUUUUCCCACAGGAGGCCGGGAGGAAACGGUGCUUACGUUUAGGCCUCUACUUGUUGACAGUUGGUCUGCUUUCAUGUGAACCCUUUGUUGGGGCAUGUGUGAGGAUGAGAUGGUGCAUUGAUUUCCUUUGUUCAGUGAAUGUUCUUUGAGCUGUGUGUAGCAUCGUGCUGUAUGCUGUGAAGGUCCCAGAGAGGAGCCUCAGUUUGCAGCCUCUGCCCCGAGAAUGCAGUUGAGUGGGGACUGGCUGGAAUGGGCUUCCCGAAAGUGACCCUGAUGUGGUUGUCCCCAGUCCCUGGCUCAGUGGCUCUUUAUACAGGAGCCAUUCAAGGGUUGAGGGAGAGGAGGAACCACUGGAGGGUUAUGAAGAUGGGACCAAGAACGUAAUUAGCCCACCUCUAGCUGCAAGCAGGAGCACUGGGCUUAGGGAGUGUCUGUCUUUCAAGUGUUUACCGCAUUUGAUCUGUGUG
rnacentral:sRNA from 1 species